rnacentral:rRNA from 2 species
UAAGGGCGACUGAAGCGUCAAAAGCUCACCAUGUGAAUCUGCACCUCUAGGUGCCGAGUUGUGAUCUGGAGACUCUUGCAUUAUUUAGUUUGGCCAAGUCCCUUGGAACAGGGCAGCGUAGAGGGUGAUACUCCCGUAGGCCUUAUUCUGUAAGCGAGUGUCAAGGAGUCGAGUUGUUUGGGAUUGCAGCUCAAAGUGGGUGGUAAAUUCCAUCGAAAGCUAAAUACUGGUGGGAGACCGAUAGCGUACAAGUACCGUGAGGGAAAGAUGCAAAGAACUUUGAAAAGAGAGUUAAAGAGUACCUGAAAUUGCUGAAAAGGAAGCAAAGGAAUCCAGUGUUAAGUUGAGCCAUUCUUCCUCACUUGCUUGCAAUUGUGGCGCUGUGGCCAGCAUGGUUCUGAUUGAUUGGUUUUGUGUGGAUGCACCAGCGGGGCUGUCUAACCCGGCCUGUGUUGUACACCAACAGAUUGAUUAGAUCGAAAUGGAUUUCUUUACCCCGUCUAGAAACACGGACCAAGGAGUCUAACAUAUGUGCGAGUAUUGGGGUGAUAAACCCUCAUGCGAAAUGAAAGUGAUAGUGGCUGGAACUUUUUGUUGCACAGUCCACCGGCCUCAAUCCUUUGGGAGAAUGGUCUGAGUGUGAGCAUACAUGUUGGGACCCGAAAGAUGGUGAACUAUGCUUGAGUAGGGUGAAGCCAGGGGAAACUCUGGUGGAGGCUCGUAGCGAUUCUGACGUGCAAAUCGAUCGUCAAACUUGAGUAUAGGGGCGAAAGACUAAUCGAACUAUCUAGUAGCUG